rnacentral:lncRNA from 1 species
AGGCAGCAGAGGCCAUGCCUUUGUGGGUACCUGAGAAACCCUAAUCUGAGGCAAUAUGUUAACUCUCCCAAUGCCAAAAGGAUUGUUGCAACCUGUGGAAUUCCCUAUCCUCGGUGUUAGGUUUUAACUAAAUGUUUUAUCAAAAAGCUUGUCAUAAACAAAAAAGUCAUAAAUAAAAAAGUGUGUUGCAAGAUUGAUUAGUGAGUAUUAACGUGGAAUAUGCUAAAGUUUGUGAGUGACAGAUGGCUUGGUUGCCAUCAAUGUACUUCUGAAGAUGGAAUAUAUUGUAAAAUAUAUGGAUAAUGAACUGAUAAUAAGCUGUAUUUAUGUUAUGUACUCAUGCUCCCUUUUUUUUUUUUUUUUUUUUUUUUGGAGACUUCCUAUUUUUAUUUUCAUUAUUAUUAUUAGAUUGGUGCUAUUUACACUCUCAAAUUCACUUUAAAUAUUCUAUUACUUUGUACAGUAAUAUGCUAAUAUUUUUCAAACAAAAAAAUUAAGGUUUACUUCGUACACUUUUUAAAAUUUCAAAAAAAAUCUAUACUUGAACUAUUUAAAUUAAUUAACUUUAUCUAAUUGAAAUACCAAUAAACUAUUUAACACACCCAAUUUUACUGGGUUUGACACAUUUAAAACAAUAAAAUCAAGCAAGUCAUAAAAAAAUUAUUUAACACAAUUUUAGUUAUUAUUAUUAUUAUUUUAUUUCUGUUCAAUAUUAGAUCUUACAUCUAAAAUAACUUGCAAUGAGAAUACACUAAUAAAAAAAAUCUAUAAAUACUUAAAAAAAAAAAAGGAGGAGAAAGAAGACGAAGAAGAAGGACAACUGGACAAGAAGAAUGGUCAAAAGCGGGAAAAAAAAAAGUUGUUUUACAAUACUUUGGUUCUUUUUUUGCAAAACAAAAAUAUCACACAUACUUUAUAUUAAUUUUUUAAAAAAAAUAUUGAUUUUCUCACUGUCCAUCUAAAUAUUAAUUAAGAUAUUAAAAAAUAAAAAUUUUAAGGUAUGAGAAUUAUACAUUGAAUUAUAAGUAUAAUAUAUGGGUGUUCAAAAUAAUUUAUAAUAUUGACUUAUAAUAAAUUAUUUUUAAUAGUAAUUUAUAUGAUAAAUAUUUUUACAAUAGAUUUAUAUUAAAAUAAAAGUGUUAAAAGCGAACCUCAUUAUUAUUGUUGUUAUUUCAAUUUUUCCAUUUGGUUGAAAAUUGAAUUGCGUAAAGAUGAAUUACUCCUCUUGUUGUUUCCUUUUUAUACUUUUUAUUGAAUUGGUUGUUAGACUUGAUGGAUAAUUCUCUUCAGUUUUUGUUACGGGAUGUGCAGAAUUUGAGAGAAAGCUAGCUAAUUAACGACCAAUAAAAGUUAAAAAUUAACUAUUAUCUUAAUCACGCACCAUGAACACGGUUCUCUCAAUGUCAAUGUGAUGUGAUGUUACAUGAGCUACAGCUGAAUGUAAAAUCCGUCGUUUCAGCAAUAAUUAAGGCCUGAUUGGUGGGAUAAUUGUCUUUCCAAGAUGAAAUAAAAUUAGCAAUCAAGCUUAAAAAUUUUGGAUUUGGUACGUUUUUUUCAAGAUCUCAAUAAGAACAAGUUUGGUAUCAAUUGUCAAAUCUAAAGAUGCAAAUUUAGCCGUACAAAAGUUAACAACUAAUUAGUAACGGUAUCCUUUCGACAUUUGUAUGUAUAAUUAUUACGCAACCACUCUAGCUUUGCAUUACCUUAAUUUAUCAAAUAAAUUACUAACUUAAAUAAUUUUGAUAUAUAUGGUAUUCUUAAAUGAGUGUGUGUAUAUAUUGUCAUUUUAUUCUAAUUAAAAAAAUAAUACUUAAAAUGAUAAAAAUACAAAAUCAUUUUCCUAUUAAAGAAAUAAAAAUGAAAAUUUAAUUUGAAACAAAGAAGAUUUUUACCUGAAUUCAUUCCUCUAUGGAGAGAGGCUCCAUGAAAGAAGAGAAUAGGGAGCAACCUUUGCCUGAGGUGGGGUUUCGGCUUCCUUACCUUAAGGUAGUGUUUACUUGUUGGAGUGGGAGUGAGGAGUCUGGAUUCCUCCCACUCCAGUGUUUACUUACUAAUUUUAAGGGGGGAGUGGAAAUCUCACUCCGUGGGACCCACCUUUUUUUAGAGCGGGAAGUGGGAUUCCCACUCCCAUGGGGGGAGGUGGGAGUGGAAAUCCACUCCCCCCUCUUCUAUUUUUAUCCUUAUAUUUAAUUAAAUAAAAUAAAUAAUAUUUAAUAAAAUAAAAUAAUAUCAUAUUUACUUAAAUAAUAUUAUUAUAUUAUUUUAUAAAUUAUACUUAUUAAAAAUAAUAAUUUAUAUUGAAUCUAAGUUAAAAUUACUUAAAAAUAAUAUUAUUAUACUCAUAUAGAAUUAAUAAUAUUACUAUAUACUCUUUUUAUUUGAAAAUAUAAUAUUAUUAUAUUUAUUUAAAAAUAAUAGUAUUAUAUUUAUUUAAUAUUAGUAAUUAAUAAUAAUCAAUAUUUUAUUCUAAGAAAGUAUUAAUUUUGUAUUAUAUUAUUAAUAAUAAUGUUUCAUUUGUGUUGCUCUUAAUAAUAAUUUUUUAUUUACAUAAUUAAAAUUAAAUUUAAUAAAAAAAUCAUUUACAUAAUUAAGAAUAUGAAUAAUUAUUAUUAAUUUACAAAUAUAAUAAAAUAAAUAUUUUAUUUUUCAAAUCUAUUUUUUUUAUUAAUUUUGUAAUUAAAAACUACAAUUCUUUAAAUAAGGAUAAAACUGCAAUUUAAAAUUAUUUACUCCCAAUUCUAUGCUCUCAUUCCAGUGUAAGUAAACAACUUACUCCCACUCCCACUCCACACUCCUAAUCCCAGAAUUCUCACUCCAAUCCAAAACGUAAACGCAGCAUAAAAGUGGACAGAUACUGAUCUCAGUUGUCGAUGGGGCAAGUAGUCCAAUGCAAAAUGCCCAACCAAGAUUUCUUUAUUCUUUUUAAAGAGAGGGAUUUAGAUAUUUUAAGAAAUUCUCGGCCUUUACCUAUCUUUACUAAAUAAAUAAGAAAAGAGAUGAUUUUUUCGUUCGGUUGAUUACUGAAGAAGGCUCUUAUCUUGGUAAGUCUGUUCUCUUCCAGACAGUCUGUCUUUUCACCUAACAUAGUGUUAUAACGUUAAUUAAUUAUUUUAUUUUUUCUUCUAAAAACACACAAUAAUAUAAUUAAUUUUGUCAAUCUUUUUUUAAGUUUUUUUGGGUUCAAUUAUCGAUACUCUUUGGUACAUAUUGAAUUGAAGUCAUUUAUAUAGAAUCAAACGUUUCUACUUUCUAGCACUUGUGAGUUUUGACUAGUUUAGUAAUAAUUGACUCUAACUUCUAAUGAAGGCGGCUAGAAAUAAUAUUGACUGUUAAUGCUUAUAAUCCAAUUAAUAUCACAACCAGCAACUUGAAGAUUAAGAAGGGAAAAAAAAGGAGAAAAAAGAUAAAGAAUAUAUUUAUUUAUUGGUUAAAUUUUUUAUUAUUAAUUCAUUUAAUCAUGCUAAUUAUUCAAUCACUAAUUAAUUAAAUUGUGAUGUUGAUUGGUUUUAUUGGUAAAAAGUUUUGGUAUAUUACAACUAAACAAGAGGGCUGAGGUUAGGAAUCUCACUCAUGAUCGAGCUUAAGAAGCGUUUGAUUUAUAUUUAUAAUUUAAUAUUUACAAAUUACUACAUCAUGAAACUAUAUUACUUUAAGUACAAUUAACAAUUGAUAAUCUAUAAAAUGACUUGUUAAUAGGAUAAGAAUUCGAUAUAGAUAAAAGAAAUAUAGAAUUAAGGAAUCCAAUACAAAAACAAUCAAAAGUAACAAUUUUAAUAUGAAUUUUUUUUUUGAUACACUGAUAUUACAAUUAAAAUACUACUAAUAUGUAUUAUUUAUCAAUUUUUUUGUGUCUUUUGAUGCGACUGUAGGAUACAAUCGUAAUAUUCUUUUCUUACUUAAUAUUGGAGAAAUUCCAACUUCCAAACGGAUGGAUGUCGACUUUAUUGGAGAUAAUUGAAUCCCAACAAAGCUAGGACUUGAAUCCAAGGUUGUUGCCAAUGCCCCAUUCAAAGUUAAUAAGCUUAGGUUUGCCAUAAAUGAUGAGAUGAUUUUCUAGAUUCUGUCUUUAUGAUCCCCCACCGAUCAACAAUCAACUGCAUUCUAAGGACACAUUGUUGGCAUCAGACCUGCUUACCCAAUUUUCAACAAUAAUUGUUUAUUAGGUCCCACGUCUAAAUUGAACAACGUCCACUUACACCAUGUUUCGUACGUAGUUUCUGUUGAGAUAAUAAAUAACAUCAGGAUACCAGUAGUUUUGCAUUUUAUAAAUAAGAACACAGUUUUUCAUUUGUAUUAACAAGGUCCCUUAUUCUAAUUUAUUUCCUAUUGAAAUUACCAAAUACACUUAGGUAGUGUUUGGUUGGAAGAAUGGGAAGGAAAUGAGAAACAAAAAGAUGAAUGAAAAAGAAAGAGGAAGGGAAUUUGAUUCAUUUGUUUGGGUUGUGAAGGAAUUGUAAGGGGAAAGGAAACAACUAUUAUGUAAAUGGGCAAAAUAUCAUCUACUCAAAUAUGAUUUAAUUACUGAUUCUAUUUUAAGAAAUAAAUAAAUUUAACAAUAAUGAUGGGAAUCUCAACAGUUGAGUCUCAAUUAUUAUGUAGCAUUCAUCUAUUAGAUAAUGGAUUUCAUAACCAAUAAAAUUAAUAUUCUACCAUCUUAGAUAAAAUACCACAUUAAUUAAGACUCAAUUAUUGGGAUCUCUAAUAAUAUUACACUUUAUGUAAUAGUAUUAAAUGAUGUUUCAACAAAUCUAAAUUCGGUGCAACCAUUUCAAAAUGUGAGAAACAUAAAUCAAACUAAAGAGAGCAAUGACCUCGAGAUUCUCCUUGCAUGUAGUUAGAGAGCUAAGAAAAUUAUUGUUCAAUAAACAAAAUCGGACAAGGCCAAAUUUUGGCUUACUAAAUUACGAUUAUCAUAUAAGUGCAAAUUUGGUAAUCAAAAUACGUAAAAGGGUAAACCGAAGGCUUAAUAAAUAAAUGGAACUGAAUCAGGAUUCCAAUUUCUUGUUAUUAAUAGCUUAAACUAAAGGGCGUUUUAGUGAUUUGAAUAAGGAUUAAGGACCUAUCUGAUACAAAUAGACAGAUUUAUACCUUACAUGAGAAAAUGUGGACCCAUAAGUUAUUUCCCUACUCAUUCUUUGUCUAUAAAUUGUGCAACAAGCCUUGUCCAAAUAUCACCAACUCCAUUCUCCAAGAUCUUCUAGUAUAUUUUUGUUUUGUGACAAAUAGUUUUGAUAAUGAAGAAGGUUUCUUCUGUUGCGGCUGUGGGCUUUGUCGUGGCGCUGCUGGUGGCUGUGGCAGCACUAAGCCAAGUUAAUGUGGCAGAGGCAGCGACGUGCAACCCUACGGAGCUGAGCCCAUGUGCGCCAGCAAUCACAUCGUCGGCACCGCCGUCGAGAGCAUGCUGCAACAAGAUGAGGCAGCAGAGGCCAUGCCUUUGUGGGUUCCUGAGGGACCCUAACCUGAAGCAAUAUGUUAACUCUCCCAAUGCUAAAAGGGUUAUUGCUACCUGCGGAAUUCCCUAUCCUCGGUGUUAGGGUUAAUAAUACGCCUUGUUUAAUUAGUGCUUAAAAGGAGGGUGUUACUAAAUAAAAUCUUGAGAGGUGCAUGGUUAUGUUGGCAUUAGUUUACUAGUGAAGCUAUGAAAAAAUAUAUGAAUAGCAAUAUGUGCGAAUAUGAGGUUAAUUAAUAAAAUAAAAUAAUAAGUUGUGGUUGUUGUAUUUAUGUUAUGUACUCAUAUGCUGCUUCUUUUGUUUUCGUUAUUAUUUCUGUUGUUGUUAUUAUUUUAAUUUUCUUUUUAUUAUUUGUUUUUUUUUGGGGUAAUACAUCGACUAAACGCAGUUGCUUUUGCAGUAGUUUUGAGUUUUAAAAACAGUAAGCAGUCCCUCAAAGAUAACGAGGGAUUAUGGACGUGGAAAUCAUUUUCAAAAACGGUUAUCUAUCCAUUAUAGGUAUAUUUAAAAAAAUAAGAAAUUAAACAGUCUAAUCAACCACAGACAUGAUUUUAAAAAAAAAAAAAAUUAUCAGGGGGUCAAUAAGAGAAGUGAAGGAUCUUUAGUUGUUGGUAAUCUUAAUUUUCUCCUCUUACAAUAAAAAAGAAAAAAUCUUAAUUUCCUCUCUUUCUGCUGCGACGUCUUUUUUUUUUCAUUUUUCCUUUUCAACUGGGAUUUAAGAAAUGAAUUUUUGGUAACUGCACAAAACUUGAAAAUUGAAAUCUAACGUUUGGGCUGGACCCGUGGCCCAUGGCAAGACAUCUGAGUAAGUAGCCUCUGUUUGUCUCGUUCGUGCGCCUUUAAGAAUUAGAGUGGGGCUAUCAGCACCCCCUGAUAUCCUUUUCAAACCCCUUUUCUGUUUAUUUCCUCCUCAAUUCCUAAAAUAGCCUUUAUCUGUAAUGUUUCCGCAAACAAUUUCGACCUCUUUUCAGUUAUCACUCUUCAACCACUCCCACUUCAAGUUUCUUCUUUUUAUAAGAAAGGUUGUUGAUAACAACCCAAUAUUUUGUAUCCCAUGCGCUUAAUUUAUUAUGAGGUUUCUAUUUGUUUUCGUUUUAUACUUUUCAGUUUAUGACAUUAUAUUUCAAAAUAAAUAUGUAUAAAAUACACGCAAGGUUUAGUUAUCUCCUAACAUUCUAAUAACGUUGGUAAUUUAUGAAAAUUUUAUAAAAUUAUCUUUCCUACAAAAAUAAAUUGUUAAGUGAAAAAAAAAAUACUGUAUAUCAAAUUCUUACUCUUUUACCAUUGACCUUUUUUUUCCCAAAAAAAAAAUUGCAACUUUUAAGUGCUUUAGUGGAGAAAGAGUCAGUGAGAAAAAAUCAUAUAUGGAUUUAAUAAGAUAAGAUUUUACAGCUAAUACAAUUCAAGAUACAAGGGAUAAAAUUGUAAAUGUAUAACAAGAGGGGUUUUAUAAGAAAAACACAGGGGUGCCAAUAGCAUCACUCUAAGAAUUAAGACCUCCGUUC